UACGUAGGGUGCAAGCGUUGUCCGGAAUUAUUGGGCGUAAAGAGCUCGUAGGCGGUCUGUCGCGUCUGGUGUGAAAAUCCAGGGCUUAACCCUGGACCUGCAUCGGGUACGGGCAGACUAGAGUGCGGUAGGGGAGAUCGGAAUUCCUGGUGUAGCGGUGAAAUGCGCAGAUAUCAGGAGGAACACCGGUGGCGAAGGCGGAUCUCUGGGCCGUAACUGACGCUGAGGCACGAAGGCCAGGGGAGCAAACGGG
rnacentral:rRNA from 1 species